rnacentral:misc_RNA from 1 species
UCUGCCUUAUCGGCAAGCGGUCUUGUUAGAGUGCCCAACUUAAUGGUGGCAACUAACAACAAGGGUUGCGCUCGUUGCGGGACUUAACCCAACAUCUCACGACACGAGCUGACGACAGCCAUGCAGCACCUGUCUCGACGUCCCCGAAGGGAACUCCUACUUUCAUAGGAUAGCGUCGGAUGUCAAGCCCAGGUAAGGUUUUUCGCGUUGCAUCGAAUUGAACCACAUACUCCACCGCUUGUGCGGGCCCCCGUCAAUUUCUUUGAGUUUUAACCUUGCGGCCGUAAUACUCAGGCGGGAUACUUACCGCGUUAGCUGCGACACUGAACGGGUAGGACCGUCCAACAUCUAGUAUCCAUCGUUUACGGCGUGGACUAC